AGGCAGCAAUGGGGAAUAUUGCACAAUGGGCGCAAGCCUGAUGCAGCGACGCCGCGUGGGGGAUGACGUCUUCGGGUUGUAAACCUCUUUCAGUAGGGACGAAGCGCAAGUGACGGUACCUACAGAAGAAGGACCGGCCAACUACGUGCCAGCAGCCGC
rnacentral:rRNA from 1 species